GAACCAGUACACAGGUGCUGCAUGGCUGUCGUCAGCUCGUGUCGUGAGAUGUUGGGUUAAGUCCCGCAACGAGCGCAACCCUUGUCAUUAGUUGCUACGAAAGGGCACUCUAAUGAGACUGCCGGUGACAAACCGGAGGAAGGUGGGGAUGACGUCAAGUCCUCAUGGCCCUUAUGGGUAGGGCUUCACACGUCAUACAAUGGUACAUACAGAGCGCCGCCAACCCGCGAGGGGGAGCUAAUCGCAGAAAGUGUAUCGUAGUCCGGAUUGUAGUCUGCAACUCGACUGCAUGAAGUUGGAAUCGCUAGUAAUCGCGGAUCAGCAUGUCGCGGUGAAUACGUUCCCGGGUCUUGUACACACCGCCCGUCACACCAUGGGAGCGGGUUUUACCAGAAGUAGGUAGCUUAACCGCAAGGAGGGCGCUUACCACGGUAGGAUUCGUGACUGGGGUGAAGUCGUAACAAGGUAGCCGUAUCGGAAGGUGCGGCUGGAUCACCUCCUUUCUA
rnacentral:rRNA from 1 species